GACGAACCGAGCGAACGUUGUUCGGAAUCACUGGGCUUAAAGGGCGCGUAGGCGGCUUGCCAAGUCAGGGGUGAAAUCCUCCAGCUCAACUGGAGAAGUGCCUUUGAUACUGGCGGGCUUGAGGGAGGUAGGGGUAUGUGGAACUGAUGGUGGAGCGGUGAAAUGCGUUGAUAUCAUCAGGAACGCCGGUGGCGAAAGCGACGUACUGGACCUCUUCUGACGCUUAGGCGCGAAAGCUAGGGGAGCAAUCGGG
rnacentral:rRNA from 1 species